GAUGUGAUGUAUCCUGCAGAUAAGAGAUCAGAAAAUGAGAUUCUUUCCACUGCUGUCAGAAGUCCUUGGAUAAAACUGGACAAUUCCUCCCUAAGCAUGCACAGACAAAUUAAAUCGUUCUGUAUCCAGAGAACUAUUUAUUUGUAUUAGAAACAUGCAUAAUUUCCAGGAAGAGAUUCUUGCAGCCACCUGUAGAUCCUUCAUGAAUGACUGAUCUAUGUAGAUACCACAGGGAAACACGAUCUCUCCUUUUGGGAAUUGUGAGAUGGGACAGUUGCCUGGACACUGAUGAAGAGCAUCUGAAUUUUGCUAGAAGAGAUGAACUGAAUAGAACUCACAUUGAGGAGGGAGAGGAAACAGAUGG